GGAUGUAGCUCGGUGGUAGAGUGCAUGCCUAGCAUGUGCAAGGUCCUGGGUUCAAUCCCCAGUACCUCCA
rnacentral:tRNA from 1 species